AAACCUUUCUGUGAUUCUAUCAUUCUUCACUUUUCAGCAACUACCACCAUUGGGGAGAGAGGAAUGUUUCUGCAAGAAGCUCAGGCAACACAGCAGGGGCUGUAAUGUGGUUGGAGUGGAGCUUAAAUCCAAAGAAGUCAAGAGGAGGAAGGGACCAGGUAAAGGUAUGCAGUUGAGGCAGUCACCGGGAAGACUUGAGAAACUACUGAUUCAGCACCAUAAUGUUUAGGUAAAUGCUACAACACUUAUUUAAAAGAGAAAAGCCAGACACUUUUUGCUCUGUGACUCACUAAUCACUGUCUGUGCUGUAGAGCCUGGAGUACAAAUUCCUUUUGUCAUGAAAAUGCUUGCUCCUUUGAUCCCCACAACAUCAUUAAACAGUUCUAAAGAGAAAGUAAAUCU
rnacentral:lncRNA from 1 species